AAUGAUAUAACUCAAUGAUAGAGUGUCACUUUAACAUGGUGAAAGUCAUCAGUUCAAGCCUGAUUAUUCCUU
rnacentral:tRNA from 1 species